rnacentral:lncRNA from 1 species
AAGUGCUUACAGAAAAGAUGCACCAAUCGCACUUAAGAGUUUGGUUAUAGUAGUCACGGGCUUCAAUUUGACUCAACUCAUCUGAGUAUUAGGUUUUUUAUUGAAUCUCUCUCUUUAUCUUUAGGUCUAUUGUAGACCGCAGUCCCACUCAACUUAUUAUGCCCAACCAAUUUAACUUAUUAACCUUCUGAACCGAACCUACUAUUACAGGGCAGAAAGUUGAAUCUAGUUUAGUCAAUAAUAAAUAGCUAGCAUAUAAUACUCCUA